rnacentral:rRNA from 1 species
CCUACGGGAGGCUGCAGUGGGGAAUAUUGCACAAUGGGGGAAACCCUGAUGCAGCGACGCCGCGUGAGUGAAGAAGUAAUUCGUUAUGUAAAGCUCCAUUAGCAGGGAAGAAAAUGACGGUACCUGAGUAAGAAGCCACGGCUAACUACGUGCCAGCAGCCGCGGUAACACGUAGGGGGCCAGCGUUAUCCGGAUUUACUGGGUGUAAAGGGAGCGUAGACGGGAGUGCAAGUCUGGAGUGAAAGGCGGGGGCUCAACCCCCGGACUGCUGUGGAAACUGUACGUCUGGAGUGCAGGAGAGGUAAGUGGAAUUCGUGGUGUAGCGGUGAAAUGCGUAGAUAUUAGGAAGAACACCAGUGGCGAAGGCGGCUUACUGGACUGUAACUGACGUUGAGGCUCGAAAGCGUGGGGAGCAAACAGGAUUAGAUACCCUGGUAGUC